CGAGCGACGGACGAGAAGCUUGCUUCUCUGAUGUUAGCGGCGGACGGGUGAGUAACACGUGGAUAACCUACCUAUAAGACUGGGAUAACUUCGGGAAACCGGAGCUAAUACCGGAUAAUAUUUUGAACCGCAUGGUUCAAAAGUGAAAGACGGUCUUGCUGUCACUUAUAGAUGGAUCCGCGCUGCAUUAGCUAGUUGGUAAGGUAACGGCUUACCAAGGCAACGAUGCAUAGCCGACCUGAGAGGGUGAUCGGCCACACUGGAACUGAGACACGGUCCAGACUCCUACGGGAGGCAGCAGUAGGGAAUCUUCCGCAAUGGGCGAAAGCCUGACGGAGCAACGCCGCGUGAGUGAUGAAGGUCUUCGGAUCGUAAAACUCUGUUAUUAGGGAAGAACAUAUGUGUAAGUAACUGUGCACAUCUUGACGGUACCUAAUCAGAAAGCCACGGCUAACUACGUGCCAGCAGCCGCGGUAAUACGUAGGUGGCAAGCGUUAUCCGGAAUUAUUGGGCGUAAAGCGCGCGUAGGCGGUUUUUUAAGUCUGAUGUGAAAGCCCACGGCUCAACCGUGGAGGGUCAUUGGAAACUGGAAAACUUGAGUGCAGAAGAGGAAAGUGGAAUUCCAUGUGUAGCGGUGAAAUGCGCAGAGAUAUGGAGGAACACCAGUGGCGAAGGCGACUUUCUGGUCUGUAACUGACGCUGAUGUGCGAAAGCGUGGGGAUCAAACAGGAUUAGAUACCCUGGUAGUCCACGCCGUAAACGAUGAGUGCUAAGUGUUAGGGGGUUUCCGCCCCUUAGUGCUGCAGCUAACGCAUUAAGCACUCCGCCUGGGGAGUACGACCGCAAGGUUGAAACUCAAAGGAAUUGACGGGGACCCGCACAAGCGGUGGAGCAUGUGGUUUAAUUCGAAGCAACGCGAAGAACCUUACCAAAUCUUGACAUCCUUUGACAACUCUAGAGAUAGAGCCUUCCCCUUCGGGGGACAAAGUGA
rnacentral:rRNA from 1 species